rnacentral:lncRNA from 1 species
GUCAGACAGUAAAUUUGUACUUCUACACUAACUCACUUUCAGUUGGCCACAGCCGAACUGUACAUCUUGACUCUUUUUUUUUUACAGCUUUUCCAUACUGGGGCCCACUUCCUGCCCAGUUGAGGAAAAAAAUCUGGCCUGAAGAUGAAAUGACUGCUUAACGUUACACUAAAACAUCUGGUACCAUUUUAUGCACAGACCCAUGUCUGAGAGCAGGCGAUUCUAGCGGUCUCUCCAGCGGCACAGCGCAUACCCAAACCUCCCCAGGGUGACAUCAUCCCAUAUAUGGACUCUCCAGCCCAGCCCUCCCCCUUUUCCUGGUCCUAAAUUCAUUGCCAGUUCCCCAGUCUGCAGCAAAUGUGCCACGUCAAGACUGGAAAUCACAGCCCUUGAGUGUGUCUCAGUCAGCGCAGCAGAAUUCAGGGGGGAAAGCUGAAUGCAACCCCUGGUGCAGGAAGGGAGGCUUUUCCUGAGGACCGGGAGAGGAUUUUAAGUACAUAGAAGGAAGCUUCUGGAGAUCCUGCUCCGUCGCCCCAGUGUUCAGACUACCUGUUCAGGACAAUGCCGUUGUACAGUAGUCUGCACAUUGGUUAGACUGGGCAAGGGAGAGCAACGCCAUGGACCGCUGGGGACAAAAUGGGCUGUUUCCAAGGAGAAGACAUUUGUUUGCUCCUUUUUUGAAUCUCAUAUCCAGUGUUUUUCUUCACAGGUUUUGCACACUAGGGACCAAGAAGCCCUCGGGGACACUGCUGAGAAAAGACUGCCGAAGGGAAGACCAGCGGGUAAGGCCUUCUUGACUGCUCACCUGGUCUGUGACCAAGGGAACCUAGGUGGGGAGCCCAUGAUUUGUGUUAACAUGCAAGGGAAACAGAGGUACAUGUGUGAUGGGUAGAGAUGUAUUUAAUUUUAAAAGAGCAAAAGUGUGUGGUAUAUAGCGAUUUACUGUUUUUUUUUUUUUUAUUUCUGAAGAUUGAUAAUUCAAGUGUUUUCUUAAAGGUUUUCCCACUUCAAAAUGAAAUAUGAAAAAACUCAUUCCAGACACUUAAGAAUAGUUUAAUGAGGCUACUUUUGAAUUGUUUAAUAAUAAUUCAAAGAUUUAAAAACUUAUAUGGAUGAAGGCUGUAUGUAUAACUUUUAACAUCCCAGGACUGAAGUCAUUUUUCCCCAAAGUAAAGAAUACUUGCUGGUUUUUAAAUGCUAUAUGGAUAGUGCUUUUCUGAAGAUUUCCUUCUGUAAUAUAAACAACAGGAAUAAUAGUACCUAACAAUAAAAGAAGAACCUGCCAAGUCUUGCCUACCAGACAAUGCAGAUGGGAUUUGCCCAGAGAAGAGCACCGACCCACAACUUAUUGAGUCAGCAACUGAGUAAAUCAGGGAAUAAAAACCUCUAUCUUUAGAUACCCCUGUAAAUAUCUGUUUUACAUUUUUUUUAAAUCAAAGAGUGGUUAAUAAUUGCUGCUCAGCUGAGCCCUCUUGCCUAUAGCUUACAAUGCUUCCACUUCUCUGAGCAUUUAAAAUAAGGCACUUUGUCUAGAAACCCACUGAUAAAAAAGGAAUUUGUAAACGAAGGCAGAAGUUUUCUUUGGUCAGUUUCCAGCUGUCCUGGAGGUGAAAGAGGGUGGGAGAGGGGGAGGAAGGUGGGAGGGAAGAAAACCCUCAAGCUGAAUGAAAUCCUAAUAGAGAAAAUAAUAGAGCAAGUCUGGAUUGCAAUGUGAUCUGUGCUGAACUUUAGAGGUCGGCCCCUUAAAGAAAGUUCUGGAAAAAUGUUAUUGCCUCAUCCCUAAUUUUCUUAACCCCCAUUAAUUUCUAUUCCGAAACAAUUCUAUAUAAUGAAAACAUCUCUUCUACAGGGUUUGUGAAAAAUAAACAUAAUCUCUUUUGUCCUCCUUUAAAGUUACAGUGGUUCCUGAACAAAUUCUUUUCUAAGUUAUACAUUUUGCAACAAUUCAAAAAUUGACUCAAGUUCUCUUUAGCAAAAUAUUUUAUUAUAAAAGAUUCCCUAAGUUUUCUUUUGUCAAAACAACUUACUUUAAAAAUUACCCUUCUGAUCACCCCAAAAUGUGUAUAAAGAAAACAUUAAGUAUUCUCAUAUAUUCAUGAUUAUUAGUUAAAAUAUAAACAGCAAGGAGAAAUUUAGCUACUUUCACUUAGAUGAUAUAGUAAAGUUAUCCUUUCAUUUUCUAUUGUGACUUGGAGAGUUCCAUAUUAAUUAUUUUUAGUAGAACAAAUGAGAUGUUAAAAAUCUAUAUAGUUUCUUUUACAUAAGAAAACUAAAAAAAGUAACUUAGAGGAGCUCAUUUUUUCAAGAAAUAUAUUUUUUCUAAUUGAUACAAUUACUGAAGAGGAAAAAUAGCUAACAAGGUACUUUGGUAAUGUUUUUCUCAAAUUUUCUGGGUUUUUUUUUUUUUUUUACUCUAGAAAUGAUUACAUUUCAAAAUUUGCUUUCAUUUAAUGUAUAUUUAAUUUCAAUUUCUUUCUUCAUGUUAAACGGUCUUUUUGUUUCAAAGAAAUGAAUCCCUAUGGGUCCCUCACCUAUUUUCUCCCUCAGGAUGACUUUUAGUCUGGAGAUAGAAGGGACAUAAGGGUGCCUCUGGCAUAAGUACAGGAGUAGAAAUAUAAGAAUUACUUUGUAAAAGGAUAACCAAGGAGUUCCUGCACAUGCUUGAUGUGGCUCUAGCGACUUAUUUUCGAGGCAAAGUUUUAACAAAUGAAAACGAAUAGUACUUAUUUUUCAAUUAUAUGGGCUAAAUUAAAGAUCAAAGGUAAAAGCUCAUUUUAUAAAGCUCUGCUGAAUGAAGGCAGGAUUGUAGUUUAUGCGCUGGUACACACGCCCACAUUUAUAUACAUUAUAGCCAUAUCUAUAUCCAGGUAAAUUAGAAAAAUGUUUAAUUUUAUUUUCAUAUUACUUUAUAAGGAGAUAUACAAAUAUUUUAGGGAUCAUGGAAUCUAUUCCAGAGGAAACUAACCAACAGUGAGCAUCUUCAACUAAAACUACCCCUGGAUGUAAUAAGUGUUGCAUGCAUCAUUCCUUUAAUUGAGCAGAGUUAACUGGAUCAAAUUAUUUAUGGGAGAGAGAGGAAAAGUUAUAAAGAAUUAUAGUAAUUUUUAAUUUCCACCAAUAUACUCUUUGUAAGUGAAUCACUCUAUAAUUACUUUCUGUUGCACUGAAUGCAGCAACAAUAACACAAUAGUAUUUUAAGGCACUGGUUUUUGGCAUACUCUAACCUUGUAAUUAUUUAAAUAACAGCCAAGUUUACUCAUGUUUUUGAUUCUGUCAAGAAAAAAAAAAAGUUCCUUUACUCGAAAGUGAUGGCCGAAACAGAAUCGGAAAUUUGUUUUCUUGAAAUUACAUAAAUACACAGAAAAUGGCACUUAUUAGCUUUUGUUAAAACAUUACCUUACCUAAUCACUGCAUAAAAGUCCAGAUUUGUAGAAAAUUGUAAUUUUCUCAGUAUCUAAAACUAUUUUGCUUUCCAUUAAGUUUCUAUUUGCUAUUUUCUCAGAAUUUUACAAUUAAAGAUAAAUCACAAACUGUUUGUUUUUCUUAAAGUUCUUUGAGAAAAUGUCUAAUUAUACAAUCCUUGGACAAUACUGUGUUUUUUUGGUGCUGUGUUUUUUAAGAAGUCCUACUUACUGGAAUUUUGACUAUUUGGAUAUUUUUGUUUUUAAAAGGGGAGGGGAAUUUGCUUAAUACUUCUAAAGAUGUGAAUUGAUAAUUGAUAUUAAAAUAGAAUUACUCUCAACUCACCAGAAUUAAAUUUUAUAUCUGCAUAUUUAACACUAUUAGCUCAUAUAAAUUAUAAGAAAAAUUUUCAAAGGAUCUGGUUUUAAUUUUUUGGAUAUGAAAUGAAUUUGCCUUUUCUGCCUUUUCUUAAGUACUAUUUUGUAACUAUAUUGCACUAACUAUAUCCAAAACACAUUCUGAGCAUCACUGUGAGUAACAGCCUUCCAGUUUGUACCCUUUUGAUUCACAGCAUGGCCCUAUAGUUAAUUAAGAGGUGGAUAACUUAAGCUCACAACUGCCUUUAAUUUGAUUUCACAUCCACAGUUAUAAACUUUGCAUUUAAAAGGAAAAUGAGACAUUUAAAUAGGUUCCUGUUGUUUCACAUAUAAUUGGUAAAAACAUAUUCCCUUGUAGGAUCCUAUUAUCAGAGCAUCAAAUACCAAAGUCAGCAACUUGGGUUGCCAAAUAAAUUAGGCUCAUUAAUUAUUUUGAAAAGGGCUGCUGUUUCCAUGUAAAUGAUAAUUUUCUUUUUCAUGGACAAGGUUAUGGUACUUAUCUACUAAAAGAAACAUGCAUAAACAUAGUUUUUAUCUUUAACUUCAGUAUUAAAAUAUGCAGUUUUUUGCAAAGAGGAAAAACAUCUGGUUCAAUUACGCUGAACUCUGACUACAUGUGGGCCAGUAAUAAUAUGAAUUGGACUUAAGAAUAAACCUUGUGUUUAAUCUCUUUUUUUCCUUAAAAUUUUAAUGUGAGUUUUCUGUUACGCAAAUUAUCCAUGUUAGCACAUUUGGAACAAAUGUAUAAAUGUACUUUCUGAAUAAAGUCAAAAGUCUAACUUGUUUUUAGUUCCAUAAUGUUUUAAUGUUUAAUUAUAUUGUGUAUUUUUCUCCCUUUCCCCUUACUCUCCAAAAUCACCAAAUCUGGAAAACAGGCUGAUUGUAUCUGUCUAUGAGCAAAGGAAACCUGAAGGAACCAAGGGCCUGGCUGGACAGAGUUGUCAUGUGUCUGCCUGUCUACACUUGCUGUGCAGAACAUCCGCUCACCUGUACAGCAGGCACAGACAGGCAGUCACAUGACAACCCAGCCUGAAUGACAACCAGCCAUUGAAAGAAAGCAGCCCUCACACCAUAGCAUCUACACCAAGAGCUACAACCAAAAUGAGGGGCUCGGGGGCCUGGGGUUUUAAUCUGUUGGUUUAAUACUUAACUCAUGUAUUAUUUUAUUUUGAUUCAAGUAUUAAAACCCACCAAAAGUAAAGUGAGUGGUGCCUAUGAAAUAUAAUAAAACCCAUUUCUGAAAAUGUUCCUGUGCAUUCUAUAGUUCUCUUUUCCUAAUUGUUGUCAGCAAAUCACUACCCUUGACCUUUAUUGUACACAGCUUUGCAGCACCCUAUAUUGAUAUAAAAACUCAAUAUAACAAAACAAUAUAACUUCAGUCUG